AAAACUGGGUCUUUAUUAUUAAUUGCAAAAAGAAUACAAGAAAAGAAACUUCAAACAAUCUUAACAAUUCAGUAUAAAGCCAACAUAGCAAGGAACCCCAAUGCGUUUAAACAAUCUAGCUACACAUGUUCAUGUCUAAAAACAAAUAGGAAUUCAAUUACAAUGAAAGAAUAAAGAAACUGAAACAUAUACACCCUUUUCCUAGAAUUGGAUGAACAUCUCAAAGCCUUGAUCUACACUGCAAUUGAUCUCCAAAAUGUAGUUUGAUUUGUUCCAAAACUCCUCUUCAAUCUUCAAUCGAAUCUCAAUACUCACGAAUCUAAUGUCAAAAGGUGGAAUCAGUCUCCUGGAAGCUACCUCGGGAUGUCUGAAACGUGUCUAAAAAAACUACAGGGGAAGAUGAAGAGUCAAAAUUGUUGAUUCUUUCUCUUCUUUUGCUCAUUCAAUUUUAUACUGUAUGCAAAUACGGGCGUGUUCAAAGCUUGUGUUACCAACACAGGCCGUGUUCUCGAAUGUAGCAAGGGUGUGUUCUCGCCCAUGUUAGCCAACACGGGCCAUGCUCUGGAGCGUGUUACCUUCAAAAACCGUGUUGCUUCAAAGUGCUUAAGCUACACAAUCUGGAAUUUUUUCACGGGCUCAAACACGGGCCGUGUUGACUUCCCAAAAGUCAACCUAAGGUCAAACGCCUCUGAUUACAUUUGUUUUCACCCGAAAUUGAUGUAAAAUUGCUCAAACACUGAUGAUAGACCUAUAAAAUCUCAUGGAAUACAAAAGGACACAAAACACGGGUGAUCUUAGAAUAAAAACACAAUAAAUGCUAAUAAAAUGCACAAUAAUAUGCAAGCAAGCAUGUGUAAAACUAUGCACAUCAUUCCACAUGAUCUUUUGUCUGUUUAGAUUUCAUAACAAUGUUGUCAAUGUAUAGCUCUAUAGUGUUGUCGAUCAUGUUAUGAAAUAUGGCAUUCAUGGCCCACUGAUAAGUCGUUCCAACAUUCUUCAAUUCAAAUGGCAUCAAAACCCACUUAAAGCAUGUUGUAGAUCUUGGACACUUAAAUGUUGUUUUAUGGAUGUCAUCAUUGGCUAUAAAGAUCUAAUUGUAGCUAGAAAAAUAAUCCAUAAAAGACAACUCACGAGAGGCAGUAGCAACUAUAAGAUUGUCUCUAAUCAGCAUGGCAUAGAUAUCCUUAGGUGUGGCGGCAUUGAGAUCCCGAAAGUCAACAAAAAUCUUGUGUUUCCCAUUUUUCUUGACUAUUGGAACCACAUUAGCCUAGCCACUUUCCAUUUAUGGUUGGUCAAAUAAAAUCUUCCCUUCUUUUGUUUCUUGAAUAAUUUACAUCACUUUUAGUUCUAACUAUUUCUUUCUGUCAUACUAUCCGUUUUUUUUAUUCUAGUGUAUACAGUUGUACUAUAUAAAGAUAUAGGCUUAAUCUGGAUAUCAAUUAAUCUAUAUCUAUAAUAUCAUCUCAUAUUCAUAUGUCUAGAUAUCAAUUAUCUAUAUGGAAUGUCCAUAACGUCCCAAUUCUAUUUCUUCAUCUAUUUGAUUUAUGUUGAUUCCAAUUAAUGUCGAAAGGCAACUCUUACUCUUACUUUUAGGAUUCUAAUUCCUAGAUUUCUGAUUAUUUAAAAUAUGAAUCCUACCAUGUACCGAAACAAUAAAAUCAAUCAAAAGGAAUUCUAUAAAAAAACUUUAUAAAAAAACUUUUUCAGAUUUCAACGAAAAGGAUUAGUAAACCCUGCCGAUUUUGAACCUUUGAAUCAUAAUAUGAAAUGAGUCAAAUCAAUAAGGUAUAGCACAAAUCCAAUUUCUCUAAAAUAAUAAAACAAAUACUAAACUAAGCACUAAGCAAGAAAAUAUCUUAGUAUGUGUAGUAUCUCAUUGGAGAACCACUAUGUCUAUCUUAUUUCCCAUAAAAAAUUCACUUAAUUUAAUCACUUUUAAUAACUAAUAAAAGAACUGCUUUCGUUUCUCUUUGAACAUAAAAAAGAUAAAAAAAUAACAAGAGAUCCCUUUAACCUUUAACUCUACUUCCUUAGACUUCAUGGAGGUUAUCGGUAAGGUUGAAAUUCCUUCUUGAUAGCAAGGCGAUGCUCUAGCAGUCUUUUGUCUAAUCCUGGCAUCUCUUGGAAACUUCAAGAAGAACAAUCCUUAAACUCAUGUAAAGUAUCGAUGAUCCUUUUUUAAGGUCGAGAUUGAGGAUACUGCUCACAUAAGUUAUCUGAGGAUUUCCUUAGUUUCUAGGUUCACUUUCGAUAAUAGUUCUUGAACUUUAGUCUUUCUGUUAUCAAACUUUGUAGGUGUUGGAUUUAAAUCCUCGAACUGAAUCUCAUCGCCGUCAUUGUUCUUAUCCUAUGGUUCACCUUCAAGAAUCAGCUUUACGCCGUCUACUUCUUGAGUUUCUUCAUCUGCCAGACCUUUAAUAACUUGCUAUAUCAGUGCUCUCAGGAUUGCAACUGCAGCUACCAUAUAAUGUUCCUUGGAGAGCUUAAUCAUCUAAUUCCUUAAUGACUGGUGCGCUCAUCGGCCUCUUAUAAGGCACAAUAGCUAUUUGAGAUAGGAGUUCCUUAGACUUCAUUUUAAGAUAAUCUUUCUGUGAAGCUAUCAUUGAGUUUGAAAAUCCAUGCUUGUUCUCCCCAAGGAACUGGAUUUGGUCCUAAGUUGAUGUCGUAGUACUUUUCUUCCACUGAAUCUGUUGAUGCUUGAAAAGGCUUAUUGUCUGCCCAAACUACUUCCACAUCAUUCCCUUUCCAGAAUAACAAGAACCGGUGUAGUAAGGAUGGCACACAUGAGUUAGAUUGAAUUCAAUCCUUUCCAAGUAAGCCUCGAUAGCUUGUUAGGGAAUCCAUCAAGAAGAAAGUAGACAAAGAUGUCUUGCUUCCCAUAGUAGUUUUUACUGGCAUAACUCCCAAGGUCUUAGUAACUUUCCCAAUGAAUACAAAUACUAACACUUCUAUAGAAAUGAGAUCCUCAAGUGACUUCCCAAGUAUUCACUACAUCUUUAAUAACAUGAAAUUUACUACAAAGCCAUUAUCAAUUAGAAUCCUUGAUAUUGGCCUUCCAUUAAGUUGUGCCUUGAUGUAGAGCACCCUAAUGUGCCUCGUCAUCCUUUCAGAUGGUUUAUCAAAAAUCACUUUUUUUUGGCUCAUUCCUUUCUGGAUAUUGAAUUGUGAUUCCGUUGUAAAAAGCUUUAGAUUCCUUGUAAUCCUCAUUGAUUGCCCAUUGAGUUUGCUCGAUACUUUAAACACCUUCAGCCUCUACCUUCUGGAAUGCAAUUGGAAAAAUGAUUAUAGUUCUCGCAUAUUUUAGAGGCAUAGGAAUCUGUCAUACCAUGAAGUUUUCUUCCACACUUUGUUGAUUUUCGGCAACUAACAUACCAUCAUCCCAUUUAAUAGCAAUAAUUGAUUCCAUAGGUGUAUCCAUAUAAAAAAGUAUGGAAUAGAAUACUUUGAUGUCAUACUUGCCAGAUGGUUGGCCAAGUAAAUCCUCAACAGUCUUCUUUUUUUACCUACUUUGAGAUUCCUUAGCUUCUUACUUCACUUCCUCACUUUGCCUUACCGCGGACCUUUGUCUUUCCAGCCUCCCCUUUUAUGUCUUGGUAAGUGGUUGUCGAAACUUCUUAUAGCAUAUUGUCUACCACUUUGAAUUGGGUUCAACCAAUGGUGGAGUGAUGAACCUAUGCUGCUUUCUUUGUGUCUUCUUUUUUUAUUAGUGAGAAAUAUGCUUCCGUUUUGGUUCCUGAGUCUAAUCAUCUCUUAUUUAACUUGAAUCACCAAUUUUUUAGGCACCCAUCUCCUAUAAACACUUUCUUAGAAUUGGAUUCCUUAGCUUUAAGUGAAUCCUUAACAAUUGACUUCCUCGCUUUAAUCCAUUUCCUACCUUUCUUUAUUAAAGAUUGAUCAUAAAUCAAAAGUGGCAGAAUUAACAAAUAUCACAGACUGGAACAGAUCCUCGUCUAUCAUCAUGGAUUCUUUCUUCUUUAGGAAUUUGAAGACUCCUUGGUUAAUAUUGUCUUGUGUUAAUUUCUUAAAACUCCAACAAGAAUUAGUGGGAUGAUUCCUUGAGUCGUAAUACUUACAGUAAUCCUUGCUUUACAUCUCUUCCUUAGUCAGUAUUUUGUGAUCAGUAAGAACAGUAAUGAACUUCUCCUUCAGGAGGAAGUAAAAAAUUUCUUCAAUUUUCCCUACAUGUAUUGUAGUUGAGCAUUAGUGGCAAAAUUAUUCUUCUAUAGGCCUGAAGUCUUUUUCGCUAGUAAUGGACAAACACAAGACCCUAAGAAGUUGAUGUCAGCCAUGGCUAUGUCUUGUGUAUUGAUUUCCUGGUAGUAGGUGCCUAUGCCUGCUUUCCUCCUUUGAUUAUCUUUCCUAAAAUAAUUUCUUAUAUUAAGACACUUUAGCAGCCAGUUCAUAAAAAUCAUGAAAUUCCAUACCUUAGAAUUUCUUCCUUAAUUUGCUGUCUAGCCCCUUUAUGCCAUCUUGAUGAACUCUGUCUUUUUAAGAAAAUCUUAGAUCAGCUCCUCAACUUUUUGAACCAUAUAAUGAACAACUGCACAAUCUCUCUUGGCCUUCAAGUUAUCUUAGACAACUCUACUAUGCAGACUUUUGGUUCUACUUUGAAGAAUUUAGUGUGAAACUACCCUCCAUCUCAUGCCAACUACAAAUUGAUUCCUUGGUAAUAUAGUAUACCAAGUAAAAGUAGUCCUAGUAAGUAAAUUUGGAAAAAGCCUUAGCUUGAAAUUAGAAAAGUUCUCAAAGUUUGUACAUUCUCCAUACUGGAUUGUGAUUCUAAUAAUGUGUUCCAAAGUCAAUUCCCUACCAUCGCUAGGAAAUAAAGCAAAAUCUAGAAUAUAAUAACUUGGGUAGGGAUUAUCAUGGUCAAUAUAAUCAAGAUAUGGCUUUUAAAAUUGGGGACAACCUAUUUGACGAAGGCCAUGUCCAUAAAGUUCCUUUAAAAUACCACUUCCCUCAUUGCAUUUGCAUUAAAGUUAGUUUAAGGAAAUUAUACUUGAGGAAAGUUUACUCUAUUCAUUCUAGUGUAUAGAAUUCCUUGAAGGGUAGUCUCUGCCUCAUAUAGGUAAGGCUGAGUGUUGGGAUUGGUUGCUCCAUAGAAUUGCUGAGGAACCGGAAGCCUUCCAAAUUGGCGGCCAGCCUGUAGUGGAGUACUAAAAAGUCCUGGAUUUUCUUCUCGGCGGUGAGGAGGUUGAUAACAUUCCUCAACCUGCCUUUGGAUUUGAUUCACAAUAAGGGAAUCCUUUGAGGAUUACCCUCCGAGUUACUUGCCAUGGUAUCCAAUAGGUCUGAUAAUAAGAACUUCCUCAGCCCAUUAUGGAGUUGGGGAUGAAAGUCGGUGAUGCCUCUAGACAAACUCAAUUGAGGAAUUCAUUUGGUGAAUUGGUGGUACUAGACCUUGCUAUAACUUUUGCGCAACCGUGCAAAAUCUUUAUCUCUGGUGUGUUCUCCUAUAAUCUUGAGUACUUCCUUAUUCUACUUUCGAAAACCUUCUAGAAUAUCAAAGUAAGCAGUAGGAUUAGCAGCACUUAGAAAUGAGAGAAAAUUAUUACCUAGAUUUGCAAUUUCAAGUCCUGCUGGAUUUUGGUGAACUUUCUCCCCUUGAGGGCGAGGAUAUUGAGGAUCUGAGCUUCUCUCCCUUCUAUUUGAUUUGUUCCAUUAGGUGAAUAUUUGGGCUUCUCUCCCUUCUCUGUUCAACCUUUUCACAUGUGAUAGAUUGCUAAGCGUGUCAGAGGUUGAUUACCUCAAAUAAUUGUUAUAGAUGCAAUAAAUGUAAAAUGUGCAACCAUUUGACUUCCAAAUUAGAUGAUUGUGUAGGUAAUAAGGGGACCUAGAUUACCUUGGGUUCUUAGCUAAGUUAAUGCAGUUUUGCUAAAUCAACACGUAUAGUUAAUUAAUGAGCUAAGAAUGUAAAUUUGAGCUGUUAGCAUGCAAUUAUGAACUAAAGAUGUGAAAUUGAGAUGUUAGCAUGCAAUUAUGAGCUAAAGAUGUGAAAUUGAGCUUAAGGAAUAAAGCUAAGAGCUAAAUUAUUAUAAGCUAAGAAUGAUGACGUAAUUAAUGUAAGCUAGGGUAUUUAAGUGCAAUAACUACAAGGUGAAACAAUAACUGGAAAGCUUCAGAAAUGUAAUUGUAUAAAAUAAAUGACUUAUAGAAUGUAAUUAAAUGUUGAUAAACAUUUGAAAGCUUUGGAUAUACUAGCAAAUGAUUGUUUUUCUAAUCUAAGGAUUGUUGUCUAAUCUAAGGAUAAAUGUAAAGAUAAAGUUUAUAGACUCUGGGUCUAUUUUGAUUUGAUUCAUCUAU
rnacentral:lncRNA from 1 species